rnacentral:lncRNA from 1 species
AGCCAAAGUGCUGAGCCCAAACCAGUGAGCCCUGCUGGGUCUCACUUGGAGUUAACCCCCAAAGUGCUGUUCUGAUCACACUGACAGGGCAAACGCGCCUCUAAGCAUCGCUUUCUGAUGGGUUUUGGCUCACCUAUUGGAUUUCACUCAUUUUCCACAGGAAACAUUUUUAGUGUUCAUGUUAUGCUGCAUUUGAAAACAAGUGUCUUCUGAUAAACUGUGCAACCUUCAGCUGAGCAGCCCCUGUUUAUCUGCAUCACAUCUGCACUGUGUUGCAAGAACAGAGGAUGUAUUUCUCUAAGUGGUCCAAAUGUGUUUUACUGGGCUAACUUUGAACUGACGGUGUUCCUCACUCCAGCCACAUCAGCAGAGAGCCAUUAAAAAAACAAAACAAAACAAACAAACAAAAACAACUGGGGGGAGAAU